CCAGAGGGUCGGGCGGCCGCCGGCAUGGGUUUCCAUGCGGGAGGAAAGUCCGGGCUCCACGAAAUAACGGUGCCGGAUAACAUGCGGCGGGCCAGGAAUCUGAUUUCUGGUUCAGGGACAGUGCAACAGAGAGAAGGUCGCACAGGCCUUGGCCUUGUGAUAGUGAAAGGGUGCGGUAAGAGCGCACCGCGGCCCCGGCAACGGGGACGGCAUGGUAAACCCCACCGGGAGCAAGACCGAAUAGGGGCGGCGCGGGGAGCAAUCCCCAGGCUAUUUCGGCCCAGACCGCCCGG
rnacentral:RNase_P_RNA from 1 species